rnacentral:rRNA from 1 species
GAUGAACGCUGGCGGCGUGCCUAAUACAUGCAAGUCGAGCGAACGGACGAGAAGCUUGCUUCUCUGAUGUUAGCGGCGGACGGGUGAGUAACACGUGGAUAACCUACCUAUAAGACUGGGAUAACUUCGGGAAACCGUAGCUAAUACCGGAUAAUAUUUUGAACCGCAUGGUUCAAAAGUGAAAGACGGUCUUGCUGUCACUUAUAGAUGGAUCCGCGCUGCAUUAGCUAGUUGGUAAGGUAACGGCUUACCAAGGCAACGAUGCAUAGCCGACCUGAGAGGGUGAUCGGCCACACUGGAACUGAGACACGGUCCAGACUCCUACGGGAGGAAGCAGUAGGGAAUCUUCCGCAAUGGGCGAAAGCAUGACGGAGCAACGCCGCGUGAGUGAUGAAGGUCUUCGGAUCGUAAAACUCUGUUAUUAGGGAAGAACAUAUGUGUAAGUAACUGUGCACAUCUUGACGGUACCUAAUCAGAAAGCCACGGCUAACUACGUG